rnacentral:rRNA from 1 species
UACAGAGGUCCCAAGCGUUGUUCGGAUUCAUUGGGCGUAAAGGGUGCGUAGGCGGCGAGCUAAGUUUGGUGUGAAAUCCUGGGGCUUAACCUCAGAAUUGCACUGAAUACUGGUUUGCUAGAGGACUGGAGAGGAGAUUGGAAUUCACGGUGUAGCAGUGAAAUGCGUAGAUAUCGUGAGGAAGACCAGUGGCGAAAGCGAAUCUCUGGACAGAUCCUGACGCUGAUGCACGAAGGCUAGGGGAGCAAACGGG